UCCUCUGUUGGCUUUUCCACGCUCCUGUCACCCUCUCCUGGGCGCGGUGAUGGACGAAUAUGCUCGGUAUGUGAUGGGAGUGUUCUCCAGGACAGAGGUCUGCAGAGAGAAGAGAGGUCGCUGCAGCUGCAGGAGCCUGAAGAAGGAGGCUUGGAGGGGAUUCUCGUGACAGCUCAUUCCAGUCCGACGGUGUUUGUCCUCACGCAGCGCCUUGUAACGUUAUGUGCCGCGCUCAGCCCGCCUGUCUGUCCAGAGUGAAGGGAAGAGAGGUGGAGAGGGAGCGGGGUGGGUGGUGCUGUCGCUGCUCCCUAUAACCACCAAAAACAAGGAGGGGCAGUGACUGAGAUCAUGUUACGCAAGGAACGAAAUCACUUAGCAUGGCUGCUGAAACGUGAUUUUGGGCAAAGCGUGUAGAAAAGGACCUGUAGCUUAACAUAUGGAAUAGCCGCUCGUUCUUACGCGCGUGUAACGCACUGUGCGUAAAGGCAGCCUAUCGGGAUUCAAUUUAUAAUAACGAUAAUAAUAAUAAUUCUUUCUAUUAAAAUUAUGUCUAACGCAGUGUGUGAGUUUCUUUUGUCACUAAAAAGUUUACACUGUUUCAGUGGUGGUGGAAUCUAAGUUAAAGUUAAAAUAUCCCACUCGUAAGUUACGUAAGUAAAACUUUUAUGGGGCGUGUAAAAAGCAGUUUGAUGUUGUAACUGAAAAAAAUAGAAAAAAAAACAUAGUAGAGGUAUAAAGUAACACAUUGGAACAUGUUUAUUACUUUUCCAUCUUAAUCCUGUUGGAUUUAAGAUGUGUUUUGUGCAGUCAGCACUCUAUUUUUAUCAUCUGUCUGGAAAAGUAGGCAUGCACUCAUUAAGGAUGUGGCUCAUGAUUUGUUUUUCUUCACAGCUGAAGUUUGGCUGAAGUUUCACACCUGUGGCUCUGGUGUCCCUCAUGGGUCAAUUACACCAUGGGUUGUUGUGCAGAAGGUCAGGGUCAGUUCUGUUCACAUCCUCAAUUAUUUUUUAUUGCACAAAGUGUUGCUUACUAAUGAAGAGCACAGACACAGAGAUUCAGUGACAAAGAAUACAACAUCAGACUGCAAAUCGUCAAAUUUAUCUGAUUUGUUUUUGGUCAUUUUAUAUGGUUAUUUUUUAUAUGCUUAAUCUGUUUUGCAAUUCACAACAUUCAGUUAUUGCGAUCUUUAUCAUCUUUAUCUUUGGGGAUAAUAAAGCUCUCCUGAAACUUUA